rnacentral:rRNA from 1 species
GACGAACGCUGGCGGCGUGCCUAAUACAUGCAAGUCGAACGAAGACGACCGAGCUUGCCUGCUCUGAUUAGUGGCGAACGGGUGUGUAACACGCGAGCAACCUGCCCCUCACUCUGUGAUAACCCCGGGAAAUCGGGGCUAAUACCGGAUAUGAGCUUCUGUCGCACGGCGGGCGUUGGAAAGUUGUGCGGUUAAGGAUGGGCUUGCGGCCUAUCGGUUUGUUUGUGAGGUAGUGGCUGACCAAGGCGUUGACGGGUAGCCCACCUGAGAGGGCGGCCGGCCACACUGGGACUGAGAGACGGAGCAGACUCGUACGGGAGGCAGCGGUGGGAAGUAUUACGCAGUAGGCGAGAGCCUGAGACGGCGGCGCCGCGUGAGGGAUGACGGCCUUCGAGUUGUGAACCUCUUUCAACGGAGAGGAAGAGAAAGUGACGGUACCUGAAGAGAAAGCGCCGGCUAACUACGUG